rnacentral:misc_RNA from 1 species
AUGCUGCUUACUGGCUUGUGAUUGCU